rnacentral:lncRNA from 1 species
UUAACCACUAUAGCGAGUAAUCGUCACUUAUUCAGAAAAAAACACUAUGGAUUCAAUGUAACGAGAAUUCUAUUAAAAUUCUGGCCCAAAACGGGAAAUUACAAAUAGAUUAAAAACAAAAUAAAAGUACAAGCACUAAAAAUAAAAAAUAGCAAGCUAAAAUAAAAUUAGAAAUCAAAAUAAAAAUGAAAAAUAAGAAAAUACAACCGAAACCUAAACGUCGUCAUC